AGCGAACGCUGGCGGCAGGCUUAACACAUGCAAGUCGAGCGCCCCGCAAGGGGAGCGGCAGACGGGUGAGUAACACGUGGGAACGUACCCUCUGGUUCGGAACAACCCAGGGAAACUUGGGCUAAUACCGGAUACGUCCGUAAGGAGAAAGAUUUAUCGCCAAAGGAACGGCCCGCGUCGGAUUAGCUAGUCGGUGAGGUAAUGGCUCACCAAGGCUACGAUCAGUAGCUGGUCUGAGAGGAUGAUCAGCCACAUUGGGACUGGGACACGGCCCAAACUCCUACGGGAGGCAGCAGUGGGGAAUAUUGGACAAUGGGGGCAACCCUGAUCCAGCCAUGCCGCGUGAGUGAUGAAGGCCCUAGGGUUGUAAAGCUCUUUUAGCAGGGAAGAUAAUGACGGUACCUGCAGAAAAAGCCCCGGCUAACUUCGUGCCAGCCGCCGCUGUAAGAC
rnacentral:rRNA from 1 species